rnacentral:rRNA from 1 species
CCUACGGGUGGCAGCAGUGGGGAAUAUUGCACAAUGGUGGAAACCCUGAUGCAGCGACGCCGCGUGAGCGAAGAAGUAUUUCGGUAUGUAAAGCUCUAUCAGCAGGGAAGAAGAAAUGACGGUACCUGACUAAGAAGCACCGGCUAAAUACGUGCCAGCAGCCGCGGUAAUACGUAUGGUGCAAGCGUUAUCCGGAUUUACUGGGUGUAAAGGGAGCGCAGGCGGUACGGCAAGUCUGAUGUGAAAGGCAUGGGCUCAACCUGUGGACUGCAUUGGAAACUGUCAUACUUGAGUGCCGGAGGGGUAAGUGGAAUUCCUAGUGUAGCGGUGAAAUGCGUAGAUAUUAGGAGGAACACCAGUGGCGAAGGCGGCUUACUGGACAGUAACUGACGUUGAGGCUCGAAAGCGUGGGGAGCAAACAGGA